GAUGAACGCUGGCGGCGCGCCUAACACAUGCAAGUCGAACGGUAAGACCAUGCUCGGGUGGGGUUAACGAGGGGGGCGGGUGAGUGAAACAUGUGCAUAACGCGCCCUUCAUUUUGGUAGAACCUCAGGACAGUGGGGAUAAUAUAAUACAGCAGGACCUCCUCCUGGGAGAGGGGUGGAAAGUCUCGGCGGGUGGGAUUGGACGCGCGGCUUGUCGGUUUGUUGGUGGGGUAAUGGCUUACCAAGGCAUUGACGGGUAGCCGGCUUGAGAGCGUGGCCGGCCACAUUGGGACUGAGAGACGGCCCAGACUCCUACGGGAGGCAGCAGUGGGGAAUCUUGCACAAUGGGCGGAAGCCUGAUGCAGCGACGCCGCGUGCGGGAUGACGGCCUUCGGGUUGUAAACCGCUUUCGGCUGUGACGAAGCGUGAGUGACGGUACCGGCAGAAGAAGCACCGGCUAACUACGUG
rnacentral:rRNA from 1 species